GCCUAGUUGGCUGAAAGGUUAGUACGUCUGACUUUCAAUCACUAGGUCGCGGGUUCGAUUCCCGCCCGGGGCG
rnacentral:tRNA from 1 species